CAGGCCUAACACAUGCAAGUCGAACGAAGGCUUCGGCCUUAGUGGCGCACGGGUGCGUAACGCGUGGGAAUCUGCCCUUGGGUUCGGAAUAACAGUUGGAAACGACUGCUAAUACCGGAUGAUGACGUAAGUCCAAAGAUUUAUCGCCCAAGGAUGAGCCCGCGUCAGAUUAGCUAGUUGGUGGGGUAAAGGCCUACCAAGGCGACGAUCUGUAGCUGGUCUGAGAGGAUGAUCAGCCACACUGGGACUGAGACACGGCCCAGACUCCUACGGGAGGCAGCAGUGGGGAAUAUUGGACAAUGGGCGAAAGCCUGAUCCAGCAAUGCCGCGUGAGUGAUGAAGGCCUUAGGGUUGUAAAGCUCUUUUACCCGGGAUGAUAAUGACAGUACCGGGAGAAUAAGCUCCGGCUAACUCCGUGCCAGCAGCCGCGGUAAU
rnacentral:rRNA from 1 species